GGUUACUGCUAUCGGGGUCCGACUAAGCCAUGCGAGUUGAGAGGGGUAAGCCCUCGGCAUACUGCUCAGUAACACGCGGAUAACCUGCCCUUGGGUUCGGGAUAACCCCGGGAAACUGGGACUAAUACCGGAUAGAUCAGAGAAACUGGAAUGUUCUCUGGUUCAAAACUCCGGUGCCCAAGGAUGGGUCUGCGGCCUAUCGGGUAGUAGUGGGUGUAACGUACCUACUAGCCAGCGACGGGUAAGGGUUGUGAGAGCAAGAUCCCUGAGAUGGAUUCUGAGACAUGAAUCCAGGCCCUACGGGGUGCAGCAGGCGCGAAAACUUUACACUGCGGGAAACCGCGAUAAGGGGACCCCGAGUGCCAGCACCUAGUGCUGGCUGUCCUACUGUCUAAAUAACAGUGGUUAGCAAGGGCCGGGCAAGACCGGUGCCAGCCGCCGCGGUAACACCGGCGGCCCGAGUGGUAACCGUUUUUAUUGGGUUUAAAGGGUCCGUAGCCGGCUUACUAAGUCUCUUGGGAAAUCUGGCGGCUCAAUCGUCAGGCGGCCAAGAGAUACUGGUAGGCUUGGGACCGGGAGAGGUGGGAGGUACUCCAGGGGUAGGGGUGAAAUCUCGUAAUCCUUGGGGGACCACCGAUGGCGAAGGCAUCCCACCAGAACGGGUCCGACGGUGAGGGACGAAAGCUGGGGGCACGAACCGGAUUAGAUACCCGGGUAGUCCCAGCUGUAAACGAUGCUCGCUAGGUGUCAGGUGCGGUGCGACCGCAUCUGGUGCCGCAGUGAAAACUUGAAGCGAGUCACCUGGGAAGUACGGUCGCAAGGCUGAAACUUAAAGGAAUUGGCGGGGGAGCACUACAACGGGUGGAGCCUGCGGUUC
rnacentral:rRNA from 1 species